AACGAACUCUGGCGGCAGGCUUAACACAUGCAAGUCGAGCGCCCCGCAAGGGGAGCGGCAGACGGGUGAGUAACGCGUGGGAAUCUACCCAUCUCUACGGAAUAACGCAUGGAAACGUGUGCUAAUACCGUAUAUGUCCUUCGGGAGAAGGAUUUAUCGGAGAUGGAUGAGCCCGCGUUGGAUUAGCUAGUUGGUGGGGUAAAGGCCUACCAAGGCGACGAUCCAUAGCUGGUCUGAGAGGAUGAUCAGCCACACUGGGACUGAGACACGGCCCAGACUCCUACGGGAGGCAGCAGUGGGGAAUAUUGGACAAUGGGCGCAAGCCUGAUCCAGCCAUGCCGCGUGAGUGAUGAAGGCCCUAGGGUUGUAAAGCUCUUUCACCGGUGAAGAUAAUGACGGUAACCGGAGAAGAAGCCCCGGCUAACUUCGUGCCAGCCGCCGCCGUAACAC
rnacentral:rRNA from 1 species